CGCAGACGCCCGCCUGACGGAGGAGGUGGGGAGGGAGGAGGCAGCAGCGGAGGCAACAGCGGGAGGAGGCAGAGGAGCCAGAGCGACGGCCUCGGAGGUGGCCCUUACCCAAACGCACAAGCUGAUUGGUGGACUCUGGAAGGCUGGGCGGAAACGGAAAAGGCCAAGGGCCAAUGGACUGAGACCGCCGGGGGCGCACCCGCUUGUUUGGGAAGUAACUCUGCCCAUGGAAAGCCAGACUUCUUGGAUCUGGGGCCCAUAGCCUAGGCCCAUUGCCCAUAGCCAUUUAUUGGCUGGCUAACUACAGGAAUUUCAGAAACAGCCUAAAUGUCCAUCAACAGAUGACUGGAUAAAGAAGAUGUGGUGUAUUUAUACAAUGGAAUACUAUUCAGCCAUAAAAACCAACAACAUAACGCCACUUGCAGCAACAUGGAUGUUCCUGGAGAAUGUCAUUCUAAGUGAAGUAAGCGAGAAAGAGAAAGAAAAAUACCAUAUGAGAUCACUCAUAUGUGGAAUCUGAAAAAAAAAAAAAUACAAAACAGAAACAGACUCAUAGACAUAGAAUACAAACUUGUGGUUGCCAUGGGGACAGAGGGGUGGGAUUUCAAAAUGCAGAAUAGAUAAACAAGAUUAUACUGUACAGCACAGGGAAAUAUAUACAAGAUCUUGUGGUAGCUCACAGCAAAAAAAAAAAAUGUGACAAUGAAUAUAUGUAUGUUCAUGUACAACUGAAAAAUUGCUCUACACUGGAA